AUUACAAACAAACAAGCUGAGAAACAAUUGAAAACUUCAAAGAAAAAUACAUGAGUCAGACAAUUAUGGAGACAAACAGAUGGGCACUGGUAGCAGUGGCUAAAGGGUCACUUUACUUGGAAGCUGAGGAAGAGGCAGCUGAGCUGAGGCACCUGAUCCAGAGGAGGAGGGCCAGAAUGAGAUGGAGGAGGAUGGCAAGGCUUUGUCAAUUACCAUCACUUAUCUUUCUCAAUGAUGGAACUCCACAGAACUAUGCUCAAAUAAAUGACCAAGUGCCAAUCCUGAAGAUAGUCUUCUCAGAUGAAGACACCAAAC